rnacentral:rRNA from 1 species
GACGAACGCUGGCGGCGUGCUUAACACAUGCAAGUCGAACGAAGAGCGAUGGAAGCUUGCUUCUAUCAAUCUUAGUGGCGAACGGGUGAGUAACGCGUAAUCAACCUGCCCUUCAGAGGGGGACAACAGUUGGAAACGACUGCUAAUACCGCAUACGAUCUAACCUCGGCAUCGAGGAAAGUUGAAAGGUGGCCUCUAGGUAUAAGCCAUCACUGAAGGAGGGGAUUGCGUCUGAUUAGCUAGGUGGAGGGGUAACGGCCCACCAAGGCGAGGAUCAGUAGCCGGUCGGAGAGAGUGAGCGGCCACAGUGGGGGUGGGACACGGCCCAGACUCCUACGGGAGGGAGCAGAGGGGAAUCUUCCGCAAUAGACGAGAAUCUGACGGAGCGACGCCGCGUGAGUGGUAACGGCCUUCGGGUUGUGAAGAUCUGUUUAUCGGGGCAAAAGGCCUUCUUGCGAAUAGUGGGAAGGUUUGACGGUACCGGAAUAGAAAGCCACGGCUAACUACGUG